rnacentral:rRNA from 1 species
AGAGUUUGAUCAUGGCUCAGGAUAAACGCUGGCGGCGUGCUUCAGGCAUGCAAGUCGAACGAGUGGCCACUUUCGGGUGGUCUACUAGUGGCGGACGGGUGAGUAACGCGUUAGCAACCUGCCCAGAGGUGGGGAAUAACUAACCGAAAGGUUAGCUAAUACCGCAUGUGAUAGCUGGUUCUUGAACUGGUUAUGAAAGGCUUCGGUCGCCUUUGGAGGGGCUUGCGUCAGAUUAGCUUGUUGGUGGGGUAAUGGCCUACCAAGGCGACGAUCUGUAGCUGGUCUGAGAGGAUGGUCAGCCACACGGGGACUGAGAUACGGCCCCGACUCCUACGGGAGGCAGCAGCUAGGAAUCUUGGGAAUGGGCGAAAGCCUGACCCAGCAACGCCGCGUGGGCGAUGAAGGCCUUCGGGUCGUAAAGCCCUUUUGCAGGGGACGAUGAUGACGGUACCCUGCGAAUAAGCCACGGCUAACUACGUGCCAGCAGCCGCGGUAAUACGUAGGUGGCGAGCGUUGUCCGGAUUUACUGGGCGUAAAGGGCGUGCAGGCGGUUUGUUAAGUGCAGGGUGAAAGCUCCCGGCUCAACUGGGAGAGGUCCUUGCAUACUGGCGAACUCGAGGGAGGCAGAGGAAAGUGGAAUUCCCGGUGUAGUGGUGAUAUGCGUAGAUAUCGGGAGGAACACCUGUGGCGAAGGCGGCUUUCUGGGCCUUACCUGACGCUGAGACGCGAAAGCGUGGGGAGCGAACCGGAUUAGAUACCCUAGUAGUCC